rnacentral:rRNA from 1 species
CCUACGGGAGGCAGCAGUGGGGGAUAUUGCACAAUGGGGGAAACCCUGAUGCAGCGACGCCGCGUGUAGGAAGACGGUCCUCUGGAUUGUAAACUACUGUCCCCAGGGACUAAGAUGACGGUACCUGGGGAGGAAGCUCCGGCUAACUACGUGCCAGCAGCCGCGGCAAUAGGUAGGGAGCGAGCGUUGUCCGGAAUUACUGGGUGUAAAGGGAGCGUAGGCGGGGAUGCAAGUUGGGUGUUAAAUCUACCGGCUCAACUGGUAGUCGCACUCAAAACUGCAGCUCUUGAGUGAAGUAGAGGCAGGCGGAAGUCCUGGUGUAGCGGUGAAAUGCGUAGAUAUUAGGAGGAACACCAGUGGCGAAGGCGGCCUGCUGGGCUUUUACUGACGCUGAGGCUCGAAAGUGUGGGGAGCAAACAGGAUUAGAUACCCCUGUAGUC